CAGAGCAGGGUGGAAGGGCUGAUUUCUCUCCUGAUUGCAGACAGAGGUGCGGCAGCAGCUGAGCGCCUUCCCCUGGCAUGGCACCACGCUCUGCCAGAGGUCUUUCUGCGAGGUGGCCGCUGGCGAGGUGCGUGCAGGCUCCCAGGUGCCAGACCCCCUUGCUGGGAGCUGUCGGUGCCCCUCAACUGGAGGAUGGCACGGGGAUCUUCUCACUUCCCAAAACCUUGGGGGCUGUUUCGUUUCAGAAGCUCUCCAGCCAGGAGCUCAGCCCUGAGCCCUUGCAGGAGCCAUCCCAUGAGGCCCCAUGCAAGCUGAGCUGGCUCAUGGAGCAGCAUGAAGUCGUCAGCCACUGUGAGAGCCAACUCCAGCAGUACUGUGAGCACCAACACCCCCACCAUGCAGAGCCACCAUGUUGGGUUGUGCCACCGAACCUUUGCCAGGACUGGUGGAUGGCAGGGCCACGCUCAGCCAUCCCAUCCAAGUCCCCAAGCUGCUGCAGCCCCCCUCAUCCCUCUGCUUUGCUCCCAGCCAUGCUGGCAUGACUUGGGGUGUGGUGACUGUCAUUUGUGGCACCCCUGGGUGCCCUGGUGCUGGCCGUGCAAGGGGACUGGGGGGGCUCUGCAGCCAUAAAGCCACCAGGGUUUGGGAUGUCACCAUGCUGGGGGCCUGCAGGAGCUGGAGCAAAGCUUUGGUGUCUAUUUUCAGCCGACUUGGGGACCUUGGAGGACACGGCUGCCCAACUGGAGAAGGUGCCAAGCGAGACCAGGCACCUGCAGGAUGAAGGAGCGAAGGUGCCCAGCUGCCCGAUCCCUGGGGGGGUACUGCCUGAGAGUCUGGGGGCUGCAGCCCCCCAGCCUGCUUGCCGGGCUGCACAGGGACAUCUCUUGGGAUGUCCUCACUAGCCACUCCUGGGGCCACCCAUAAGCAUACCUCCCUGCCUCACCUGUGUCCUGCAGCCACUCAGGGCCCCACUUGUCCUCCCCAGGGGCUGGAUUUCGGCAGGGAGGUGCUGGACCAGGUGGGACAGCUGAAGGAGCAGUGCGCGAGGCUGCAGGAAGCUGCGGAGCGGCUGUGGGGUGACAUCGGGGACACCCAGGUGAGCACAGCCCUGGGAUCAGCUCAGGAGCCGCUUGAGCCGUGGUUGGCAUCUGAACCAGGCUGGGUAGAGGCUUGCCCAGACUUGGUGUGUCCCCACCAUGUCCCCCCCCAGAAAGCCGACAAAGCUGCGCUGGAGACCAAAUUGAGCCAGGAUGAGCUGCAACAUGCCAUGGUCCAGCUGAGCCAGAUGAUGCAGAACCUGCUGCAGAGGAUGUCCCUGCUGGACCAGGACAGGCAGAAAGACCUAGAGAAGCUCCUCAGCGAGAUGGACUCCAAGCUGGACUGCGCGGCCCUGGCUCCCCUGCAGGCAAAGCUGGAGCAGAUCUGGAGGCUCACCCAACGGUGCCUCUGCAAGGGACGCUGCUGUGGUGCCAACCGGGCUGCUGGGUUCAAGAGGUGGGAGCUGCUGGAUCCCAUCUUGUCCCCUUCUGUCCUCUCCUGUGCUGCCCCAUCCCCUCCCAUGCUGUCCCAUCC
rnacentral:lncRNA from 1 species